AGCUCCAGUAGCGUAUAUUAAAGUUGUUGCAGUUAAAAAGCUCGUAGUUGGAUUUCUGGCAAGAGAUAUCUGGCCCGCCACGGUUACGUGCGUGAGUGCCGGCAUGUUUCUGCCAUCCUUCUGGAAAACGUUCCUACCCUUCAGUGGGCCGGGUUCGCAAUCUGGAUCUUUUACUUUGAAAAAAUUAGAGUGUUUAAAGCAGGCUUUUUGCUAUGAAUAUAUUAGCAUGGAAUAAUAAUUUAGGACUUUGUUUCUAUUUUGUUGGUUUCUAGGAAUGAAGUAAUGAUUGAUAGGGAUAGUUGGGGGUGCUAGUAUUCAGCGGCCAGAGGUGAAAUUCUUGGAUUCGCUGAAGACUAACUUAUGCGAAAGCAUUCACCAAGGAUGUCUUCUUUAAUCAAGA
rnacentral:rRNA from 1 species